rnacentral:rRNA from 1 species
GACGAACGCUGGCGGCGUGCUUAACACAUGCCAGUCGAACGGUGAAGCGCCUUCCUUUUUGGUGGGUGUGGAUGAGUGGCGAACGGGUGAGUAACACGUGAGUAACCUGCCCCCUUCUUCUGGAUAACCGCAUGAAAGUGUGGCUAAUACGGGAUAUUCUGGGUCUGUCGCAUGAUGGGUCUGGGAAAGAUAUUGUUUCGGUGGGGGAUGGGCUCGCGGCCUAUCAGCUUGUUGGUGGGGUGAUGGCCUACCAAGGCGGUGACGGGUAGCCGGCCUGAGAGGGUGGACGGUCACACUGGGACUGAGACACGGCCCAGACUCCUACGGGAGGCAGCAGUGGGGAAUAUGGCACAAUGGGCGCAAGCCUGAUGCAGCGACGCCGCGUGAGGGAUGGAGGCCUUCGGGUUGUGAACCUCUUUCGCCAGUGAAGCAGGCCUGCCUCGUUUGUGGGUGGGUUGACGGUAGCUGGAUAAGAAGCGCCGGCUAACUACGUG